GGUGGGGUGGAGAGAACACGGUCAUCAGUACUGAGGGAGAGGACACGGUCAUCAGUACUGAGGGAGAGGACACGGUCAUCAGUACUGAGGGAGAGGACACGGUCAUCAGUACUGAGGGAGAGGACACAGUCAUCAGGUCUAAUACUGAGGGAGAGGACACAGUCAUCAGGUCUGAUACUGAGGGAGUGGACACAGUCAUCAGGUCUAGUACUGAGGGAGAGGACACAGUCAUCAGGUCUAAUACUGAGGGAGAGAACACAGUCAUCAGGUCUAAUACUGAGGGAGAGGACACAGUCAUCAGGUAUAGUACUGAGGGAGAGGACACAGUCAUCAGGUCUAAUACUGAGGGAGAGGACACAGUCAUCAGGUCUAGUACUGAGGGGGAGGACACAGUCAUCAGGUCUGAUACUGAGGGAGAGGACAGUCAUCAGGUCUAAUACUGAGGGAGAGGACACAGUAAUCAGGUCUAGUACCGAGGGAGAGGACACAGUCAUCAGGUCUAAUACUGAGGGAGAGGACACAGUCAUCAGGUAUAGUACUGAGGGAGAGGACACAGUCAUCAGGUCUAAUACUGAGGGAGAGAACACAGUCAUCAGGUCUAGUACUGAGGGGGUGAGAAUAUGAAAAGUGAGUUAAUUAAAAGGUGGUUGGGUCAAAAAUUGAUAUUUAAGUCGCACUUACACACAGAGCACUAGCUCCAUCGCUCAUAGAAUAUGUAAUCUAGAACAAAUAUGAACAUUGAUUAAAAGAUGUAUAAGGCUAUGAGAUACUUUUAUCUGCCUGUAUUAAGCUAGGCCUGCAUGAUCAGUUGUCCUUUCCCCUGCGGACUGACUGUCAGCUGUGGGUUCCCAACGAUACCACUCAAAUGGCACCCUAUUCCCUAUAUAGUGCACUACCUUUCACCAGAACCCUGGUAGUGGUCUAUUUAGGGAAUAAGGUGUUUACUUGGAACAAAGCCGAUAUUGGAUGCUGUGUCAUCGUCUGUGUGUUGAUUUUACCUCUCCAUCGCGGGUCUCGAUGGUCUUGAUCAGGACAGUCUUCUUGGAGUGGACCUCUGCUGAUCGUCCGACGUCUGGGCUGGUCUCUGCGGAUGGAUCGGACAGAGUUAAGACAACCUCGUACUAACAGAAUCACAAAACCAACCUAACAUCAACCCAGAAUUGUAUAUAUGAUUCACUCUGCCUCAAUCUAACAUCAACAUCAACCCAGAGUUGUAAAUAUGAUUCACUCUGCCUCAAUCUAACAUCAACAUCAACCCAGAGUUGUAUAUAUGAUUCACUCUGCCUCAAUCUAACAUCAACAUCAACCCAGAGUUGU
rnacentral:lncRNA from 13 species